UGCGUAGGCGGUUUACUAAGUCAGAUGUGAAAGCCCCGGGCUUAACCUGGGAACUGCAUUUGAUACUGGUAGGCUAGAGUAUGAUAGAGGGGGGUAGAAUUCCUGGUGUAGCGGUGAAAUGCGUAGAUAUCAGGAGGAAUACCAGUGGCGAAGGCGGCCCCCUGGAUCAAUACUGACGCUGAGGUACGAAAACGUGGGUAGCGAACA
rnacentral:rRNA from 1 species